rnacentral:tRNA from 1 species
GGGAAGUUGGCUCAGUGGUAGAGUGCUUGCCUUGCAUGUAUGAGGCUCUGGGUUCGAUUUCUCA